AGCAUAUCAAUAAGCGGAGGAAAAGAAACCAACAGGGAUUGCCCUAGUAACGGCGAGUGAAGCGGCAACAGCUCAAAUUUGAAAUCUGGCUCUUUUAGAGUCCGAGUUGUAAUUUGCAGAGGGCGCUUUGGCUUUGGCAGCGGUCCAAGUUCCUUGGAACAGGACGUCACAGAGGGUGAGAAUCCCGUACGUGGUCGCUGGCUAUUGCCGUGUAAAGCCCCUUCGACGAGUCGAGUUGUUUGGGAAUGCAGCUCUAAAUGGGAGGUACAUUUCUUCUAAAGCUAAAUAUUGGCCAGAGACCGAUAGCGCACAAGUAGAGUGAUCGAAAGAUGAAAAGCACUUUGGAAAGAGAGUCAAACAGCACGUGAAAUUGUUGAAAGGGAAGCGCUUGCAGCCAGACUUGCUUACAGUUGCUCAUCCGGGUUUCUACCCGGUGCACUCUUCUGUAGGCAGGCCAGCAUCAGUUUGGGCGGUAGGAUAAAGGUCUCUGUCACGUACCUCCUUUCGGGGAGGCCUUAUAGGGGAGACGACAUACUACCAGCCUGGACUGAGGUCCGCGCAUCUGCUAGGAUGCUGGCGUAAUGGCUGUAAGCGGCCCGUCUUGAAACACGGACCAAGGAGUCUAACAUCUAUGCGAGUGUUUGGGUGUCAAGCCCGAGCGCGUAAUGAAAGUGAACGGAGGUGGGAACCCGCAAGGGUGCACCAUCGACCGAUCCUGAUGUCUUCGGAAGGAUUUGAGUAAGAGCAUGGCUGUUGGGACCCGAAAGAUGGUGAACUAUGCUUGAAUAGGGUGAAGCCAGAGGAAACUCUGGUGGAGGCUCGCAGCGGUUCUGACGUGCAAAUCGAUCGUCAAAUUUGGGCAUAGGGGCGAAAGACUAAUCGAACUAUCUAGUAGCUGGUUCCUG
rnacentral:rRNA from 1 species